rnacentral:lncRNA from 1 species
AGGGCCUGACAAUGCCAAAGUGACGACAAUUGCCUACCCCAAAGGGCCUGACAAUGUCAAAUAGUGGCGACAAUUGCCUACCCCGAAGGGCCUGACAAUGCCAAAGUGACCACCUGCCGAAGAGGCUACCAUCGAAUGGUCAGCGAGUCCUCCCGAACCUCCUAACUCCGAGGUGGCAUUUGUUGUGCCUGUCAGAAUAUGGAUGAGCUACGGAAGUUCUUUAUGAAUGUUUUAAACUUCGAUCCCAUGAGCUGGCGUUUGUUAACCUGAUCCCUAGGCAAUGGACCCAGUACGACUACCCCCAGACAGCAAGAGGUAUAGGAGAUAAAAUCGAAAUAUAGCCUUUUGGUGGCUGAUGUGGGAUCGAACCAUUUGGCUGACAAAUAUCCAAAUGAACCCUCCAAAC